UUUAAGCAGAAGACAGAUUUAGUAAAAGCUGUUAGGAAACUCACAGAAUGCCUGGUAGGUCUAAAGGUUAUGUCUUCAGAAAUAACCCUUAAAUCAUGCCACAGAGCUGCCUGGGAGAGACAUAACCGCUGCGCCACUGGGCAGAGACAUCAGCUCAUCUCCUGGACCCAGGCAGGGCCCGGAGGUCAUCUCUCACGCUGCGACAGAAACUGCAUCUAUUUGGACCACCAUCACCAAUGUGGAUUUUGUGACACCCCUUCUUUCUGGUAUCAGCCUCCAAAAAAAUUUCCAGUUUCUUUGAUUAGCAAAGUUGGAUUACUGGGUCUGGAUCCCAGCUGCGAAGAAGAUUGGGAAGACAAGUUUCUGGCCUUCACCUUGGGUUGGCAUGCACCUAAAAGGUGAAGAAUUCUCCAAACUGGGUCAUCACAGUCUCAGUCCCACUGUGAGGAGGGGCACCCAACCAGCCCUGGAGGAGGUGCUGGGAGAACGGCUUGUGGGGGAAGCGACGAUGAAGGAGGAAUACGGGUGAGAGGGUGAAGGGUGAUGGCACAUCCCACGGGGCCUGGCAAACUGCAUUUGUAGAAAAGGACACACGUGUGUGCAGGUGACCCCGGAGAGGUGAGCAGGUCCAACCCAGGAUGUUUAAUGCCUCAGCUAGAUUGUGUUCAGAAAGCAAUGUGGAGCCUGUGAAGGGUUUUAAAGGAUAACCCAAAUAGAUUUUAAUGCUAUAUGUUUCUAAAAAUCACUGCAAGGGCCCUGUUGAGGACGGAUAGAGGAGAGAGGCCCUGGAGGCAGAGCCCCCAAGCCCGUGGACUGGGGAAGGGACUCACAGUGCCAGAGGGCUGUCCAUGACGAUGGAGAAGAGGGGACGAUUAGAGAGCUUUGGAAGAGGUGGACGGGUCACAAGCCUGUGACUCACUGGGCAGAGAGUGAGUCAAGAGGAUACAAGGAUCGUAGUGAGGAUUUGAGGAGCAGGAUCACAGCAGGUUCAAAGUUAGGCAGAGGUGGGGUGUAUGGUGUGGCCGUCCUCUGGUGGGGCACAGAAAAAACCACAGACAAGUGUGGGGGCAGCUGAUGGGUCGAUUCCUUCUAGUCCUCCUGGGCUGCCCCGGUGACUGAUAGGCUGUCAGCCUACUAGACAUUUGCUCCUCCCCCAUCCUGUCAGCUGCAGGAGGAACCGCCACCACCGCCCCCCACCCUGAGCCCUGUGCCAGCUACAGCUGGGCUUCUCUUGAGUAUUUCUUCUGCUGGCUGGAGGCUGGUGGCUUGUGGUCUCCCACAGAAAGGGGAAGCUAGAGCAGCGGAGCUUAGGGAAGAAGGCACACAAGGCAUGUGAGGAUCUCUGAGCUGUUUGUUGGCCAUGACCUCCCCACCCCCAGGCAAUUCAGUUACCAUUUCUGAGUCUUAAAUUCUUUAUCUACAACUUGGCGACGGGGAGAAUACUUACGCCAAGCACAUGCUUUAAGGAUUUCACAUAAUGCAUGUGAGAGGGGCGUGAAGGGAACUAAAAUCUGUGUUUAUGUGAACUGAGAUCCUCCACCCACCUCCAGCUCCUCCCAGGGAAGGGCUGGGGUCAUGGAGGUGAUUUUUGUGUAAGUUCCCAUCCAUCUCUGUGGACUCCGGGUCCCUUUGUAGUGAAAAUAGGCCCUGUGAGGAAGACAAUGUACCAUCAGCAUGAUAAUGUCAAGGUCAGUAUUUCACAACAUUUCGGGGGAACGUCUCUUCAAUUAGAGGAAUUUCAUGUUGUGCUAGACUGUAUGACCUUCAUAACAAAAUACUCCUUAUAUACACAUUUGCCUCGAGAUUAAUCAGGAGGAAAAUGGGCUCACUUGUGACUGUCACCAGGAAACCAAACUGAAGUCCAAUCCCCACCCUCUCCCUACCUGACCCACAGGAAGCCCAGCCCAUUCGCCCACCCACGCUAUUUCCUUUAGCAUUAGCAGGAACCUGGGCAGAGAACGCCUGUGUUCACAUGUAGCCUGCAGCCCAGAGUCUGAAAGACAUGAGGGACAAACCACCGGGACUCUGUCAUGUGGACAGGAAUCGAGUGUCUGGAAGGAGAAGAGUGUGGCCGCCACACAGGGAACAUCCUAAAAAGGAGGCUGAGGAAGGAGGACAAGGGAAGGUUAGGGACACAAAGUUGGGGGAACAAGGGAGCACCUGAGUGAGACCUCCUUUAAGUGCCCAAACAGUGAAACUUGUCCCCACCCUGUGGUGCAGUUCACGGGAUGACUUAGUGAGAGUCCCGAAUCUCUGCUUCCCAUCCCGAUGCUCUUUGCAGGGACUGAUGUGGCCUUUGGGAGAGAACAGCUCAGACCUCCAGCAGAACCCAGUGGGCACUCCGUUUCAGGAAGCUGGGCCUCAAUGUACCCAAUCUCCUGGCAGAAGCUCCCCGGCUACCUUUGAGGAUUUCCAAGCAGAGAGGAUUAAGGAGUAGCAAAUGCCAGUCCCAGUGAGAUGCUGGACCAGUCUCUUAUUCCCCCACCUCCUUGUUCCCUGGUUCAGUGAAAGACACUUGCAGCAGGACAGA